UGGGGAAUAUUGCACAAUGGGCGCAAGCCUGAUGCAGCCAUGCCACGUGUAUGAAGAAGGCCUUCGGGUUGUAAAGUACUUUCAGCGGGGAGGAAGGGAGUAAAGUUAAUACCUUUGCUCAUUGACGUUACCCGCAGAAGAAGCACCGGCUAACUCCGUGCCAGCAGCCGCGGUAAUACGGAGGGUGCAAGCGUUAAUCGGAAUUACUGGGCGUAAAGCGCACGCAGGCGGUUUGUUAAGUCAGAUGUGAAAUCCCCGGGCUCAACCUGGGAACUGCAUCUGAUACUGGCAAGCUUGAGUCUCGUAGAGGGGGGUAGAAUUCCAGGUGUAGCGGUGAAAUGCGGAGAGAUCUGGAGGAAUACCGGUGGCGAAGGCGGCACCCUGGACGAAGACUGACGCUCAGGUGCGAAAGCGUGGGGAGCAAACAGG
rnacentral:rRNA from 1 species